GACGAACGCUGGCGGCGUGCUUAACACAUGCAAGUCGAACGGAAAGGCCCCUUUGGGGGUACUCGAGUGGCGCACGGGUGCGUAACACGUGAGUAACCUGCCCUUGACUUCGGGAAAACUUCAGGAAACUGGGGCUAAUACCGGAUAGGAAUCCUUGCUGCAUGGUGGGGGUUGGAAAGCUUCGGCGGUUUUGGAUGGACUCGCGGCUUAUCAGCUUGUUGGUGGGGUAGAGGCUUACCAAGGCUUGGACGGGUAGCCGGCCUGAGAGGGCGACCGGCCACAUUGGGACUGAGAUACGGCCCAGACUCCUACGGGAGGCAGCAGUGGGGAAUAUUGCACAAUGGGCGGAAGCCUGAUGCAGCAAGGCCGCGUGCGGGAUGACGGCCUUCGGGUUGUAAACCGCUUUCAGCAGGGGCGAAGCUUGUGGUGACGGUACCUGCAGAAGAAGCACCGGCUAACUACGUG
rnacentral:rRNA from 1 species